AUUGAACGCUGGCGGCAUGCUUUACACAUGCAAGUCGAACGGCAGCACGGGUGCUUGCACCUGGUGGCGAGUGGCGGACGGGUGAGUAAUACAUCGGAACGUGUCCAGAAGAGGGGGAUAACGCAUCGAAAGAUGUGCUAAUACCGCAUAUACUCUAAGGAGGAAAGCAGGGGAUCGAAAGACCUUGCGCUUUUGGAGCGGCCGAUGUCUGAUUAGCUAGUUGGUGGGGUAAGGGCCUACCAAGGCGACGAUCAGUAGUUGGUCUGAGAGGACGACCAGCCACACUGGGACUGAGACACGGCCCAGACUCCUACGGGAGGCAGCAGUGGGGAAUCUUGGACAAUGGGCGCAAGCCUGAUCCAGCAAUGCCGCGUGAGUGAAGAAGGCCUCGGUUGUAAG
rnacentral:rRNA from 1 species